AAGGGCACCACAAGAACGCGUGGAGCAUGUGGCUUAAUUUGACUCAACGCGGGAAAUCUUACCGGGUCCGGACACACUGAGGAUUGACAGGCGAAGGAGUUUCGACUCUGCAAAUAUGCUAGUCCUUUCAUGAUUGCGUGAUAGGUGGUGCAUGGCCGUUCUUAGUUCGUGGAAUAAUCUGUCUGCUUAAUUGCGUCUUUUCAUUGGCAGAGCCUUUCAUUAAAGCUGUUUCAAGUUGGCACUCUCCUUCGGGAUUGUUGUCUGACUGAACGCUGAAAGGUUACAUCUGCUUUUUGAAACGAACGUGACCCCAACCCUUCUUUGUCGGGCACUAAACUUUUGACUGAAGGAUUUUUUCUUCGGAGAAUUUUCUUUGUCUUAUAAAAUGGUACCGUUACAGAAGGGGACUGCCGGGUGAAACCCUGAGGAAGGUUGGGGCAAUAACAGGUCUGUGAUGCCCUUAGAUGUUCCGGGCUGCACACGUGCUACAAUGAUCUAUGCAGUAAGCAUAUAUUAUAGUCUGUCGGUUUUUAUAACUUGACAGCAAACCUGCUUCGAAAGUUAGUAGGUAAUCAUUUCGAAGUAUAGAUUUCCUUUAAAGCUAUCAGUGUCUACAUCACGUAGUACACGUUGCUCUUUAUGUAAGACUUCAUAGUGGGGACAGACCUUUGUUAAUUGUUGGUCUCGUUUUCAACUAGGAAUGCCUUGUACGGGUCUUUGGUUCAACAGACCACCCGGAAUACGUCCCUGCCCUUUGUACACACCGCCCGUC
rnacentral:rRNA from 1 species